CAAGAAGAGGAUCAGACUAUUUCACCUACGUACAUCCCCCCCCCAGUCCUGCCUUGUAACCAGUGAAGGACCGGAUACUCUCUCCCUUCUAUUAGUUACUCUCUCUCUCUCUCUCUCUCGGCUGUCGCGCCUCCUCCUUCCACACGCACCCGCCAGAAGAAAUAAGGGGCCCGAUCCCGCGGAGUCCAGGCAAGAGCAGAAACUAUUACGCAGCCGCGGGUUGGUCGAGGCGAGACGACGGCCUGAGGCUUUGCAUAUAUUAUUCAAAUGAACGAAUCCCCAGACUUCCCGGGCUCCGGGCGCGCUGGGUGCCCGCCCCCCCGUCUAGGUGAAUAAAUUAUGCAAAUGAGCUUCCCGAGGUUCUGGCAAGCGCUGGAAGGCGGCGUGCGCUGUGUACAGUCCUGAGCGGGAGUCUGAGGAGUCGCCGCGGCUACUGUUCCUGACAGCCGCUACCGAAGGCGCCUACGCAGGCAGGGGCUGGCGAGCCCACUCCGGGGAAGGUGGAGAGGAGCUGCCGCCGCCACCGCUGCCGGAAUCCCUCACACGCUUGGCUCCUCAAGUGACCCCCCGCCGCCCGGGGCUGCCUUCAAGCGCGCCGAGGAAAAGAGCGAGAGAAGCAACAAGUCCGUCUCCGGCGCCGUCGUCGUCGAGGGAAGAGCCCGGACGGAGCACCUGGGAAGGGUGGCAGGCGCCGCCGCCGCCACGCUCUCCGACACCAGAGCCGGCGUGUGGAGCUGCUUGCCCUCGUCCUCGUCCCCCUCCUUUGCUGCUGCUUCGAGGGGGGGGGUUCCCUUCCGCGCUUGGCUGGGAUGGCCGCUGUGGGGGUCGUCCAGGAAAAAAACCUCGCCAUGAAGCCUGUGGCGCGCGGCACCUUUUCGCCUUGAAAGUUGCACGCGCGCGUGCCUGCCUCUGUGCAAAGUGCCUACUUUGGAUUUUUAUUAUUGUAAAAAAAAUUUUUUUGGGGGGGGAAAACAAAAAAGUGGGGGAGCGGGGAAAUAUUCCUUUUAUUAUUGAGCCGACUUCUGUCCGCGUAGGGGUUCCCUGUGCAAACCCAUUCUCCACAAGAAGAGGAGGUGGUGGUGGUGGAGGAGAAAUUCGUUGCUGCCUCCCUCCCUCCCCAGCCCGGCAGCAUGGCAGGGCAAAGCCAGGACGCCCAGGGUCAGGAUGCCAAAAGGGAGGCCAGCUGCUGCCCCGUCAGGACUGCGCCCUCCCAGGCUCUGCUGGCCGCUUUCCUCCUCUCGGUGCUGUCCGUGGCUUCCUGUAUGUAUCUGGGGAUGAAGAUCAGCGACCUUCAGACCAGGGUCUUCCUCAUCGAGGCCGCCCAAGGAGACCUGUCUUCUUCUGCCGCCGCCGCCGCCUACCAGCCGCUGCCCGGCUCUUCUAUGGAUCAGCUGAAUUCCCUGGUGCAGGAAAAAGUGGAGCGACUUCUGGCUCAGAAGUCUUAUGAGCAUAUGGCAAAAGUCAGGAUUGCGAGAGAAGCUCCUCCAGAAUGCAACUGCCCACCAGGUAAAUGGGAAGAGGUUGGAAACACUUGCAUGCAUUCAGACAGCGCAGUUUUUUACCUAGUGACUUUCAACCUGUGCUCAACAGAGUCCAGUGUAGGAAAUACUGUCUUCUUUUGGACUACAGG
ensembl:lncRNA